rnacentral:miRNA from 1 species
UGAAGGUGUGUACAUUGGAGCUGAGAUUCUGCGGGAUGGAUAGGAGUACACUGUCCUCCCACAGGCCCAGCUCAUAGCACAAGCCAUCGG